rnacentral:rRNA from 1 species
UACGUAGGGGGCUAGCGUUGUCCGGAAUCAUUGGGCGUAAAGAGCGUGUAGGCGGCUCGGUAAGUCCGCUGUAAAAGUCAAAGGCUCAACCUUUGAAUGUCAGUGGAUACUGCCGGGCUAGAGUCCGGAAGAGGCGAGUGGAACUCCUGGUGUAGCGGUGGAAUGCGCAGAUAUCAGGAGGAACACCAAUGGCGAAGGCAGCUCGCUGGGACGUUACUGACGCUGAGACGCGAAAGCGUGGGGAGCAAACAGG